CUCUGGCAGCUCGUGUCUGUGUCUGGGCAGGAAUUCAAACCGACCACCCUGUGGGAGCAGCCAGGCUGUUCAGCUGCUGCUGCCUGGCUCAACAGGCACUGGAUCAACUCUGGGAGGCAGAGCUGCUGUCACACUGGAGACCACUGCACUUUAUGGAAAACAAAACACUGCCAGAUGAAGAUGUACUCGCAUGAAGAGACUCAUUAAAACAUAAAUAAUGCCUCCAGUGGGUCGGCCAUUUCUGACGCAGAAAGCUGACUCGGGUUGCUAUGGUUCUGCUGUUGCCAUGGUUACACAAGUGCAUCUUGUGCCGAGUUCGUUAACUGCAGAGAGGGGGGCGCCAAAAAGGAAACGAUGCUGAACCGAAAGACUGCUGAGGCGGAAGAUUCAGGGAAGAAAAGUCCAACAUCAGGAAGAAUGAUGAUGAGUCAGAAAACAGAGACGGAGAGAUGGAGGGAGGUCUCUUGUGAAGAUUUAGUAAAAGCCAAGAAAAUAUCCAAGACAGGUGGAUGAAUGCAGAAUAGGAAAACACACCAAUACCAUGUAAGCUUCCUGGAUUUUUUGGAUCAGGGUAACAUGGGCCUAGAAGUACUUUCCUAGGGGGGUCACUGCUUUAUCCAAGGGGGACAAUAAACUGUAAAAACUUUA